AUUGAACGCUGGCGGCAGGCUUAACACAUGCAAGUCGAGCGGAGUGAUGGUGCUUGCACUAUCACUUAGCGGCGGACGGGUGAGUAAUGCUUAGGAAUCUGCCUAUUAGUGGGGGACAACAUCUCGAAAGGGAUGCUAAUACCGCAUACGUCCUACGAGAGAAAGCAGGGGAUCACUUGUGACCUUGCGCUGAACGAUGAGCCUAAGUCGGAUUAGCUAGUUGGUGGGGUAAAGGCCUACCAAGGCGACGAUCUGUAGCGGGUCUGAGAGGGGGAUCCGCCACACUGGGACUGAGACACGGCCCAGACUCCUACGGGAGGCAGCAGUGGGGAAUAUUGGACAAUGGGGGGAACCCUGAUCCAGCCAUGCCGCGUGUGUGAAGAAGGCCUUAUGGUUGUAAAGCACUUUAAGCGAGGAGGAGGCUCUUUUGGUUAAUACCCAAGAUGAGUGGACGUUACUCGCAGAAUAAGCACCGGCUAACUCUGUGCCAGCAGCCGCCGUAACAC
rnacentral:rRNA from 1 species